UAAAGGCAGAAUAAUUCUAAAAUUGUUUUUUUUUUACACAUCUAUAUAAGUUUCUCGCCUGUACGAUCCUGCAACGUUGGUGACUUUAUUUUUAUUUUUUUAAAGACGUGAGAGAGCAAGUGAAUUUGGGGGCGAGGACCAGGCUCCUCCUUCCCGGCUCUUCUUUGCCCGCCUCUUGGUCACGCCCCAAACCGGCCCUUUUACUCCAGCGCCUCCCUCUUGGCGGUAGGUUGCUGUGAAAAUGCGGAGAGGUGGAUUUUGCAAACUAAAGCGUAUGAUGGCUUCUGCAGCCAGACUGGGAACUUCUCAUCUUUUUAACUGCAUUAAUAAUAGCAC
rnacentral:lncRNA from 1 species